UUGUCCUGGGCAGGCCCCAGCCAGGUGUGAGUGCCCCAGCCCAACUCAGUGGUCUCCAUGCUGCAGCAGAGGAACACCGAACAACUGGAUGUUGUGAAUGUUUCUCACCUGGCCUUAAAAAAAAAAAAGCAUGAAAGCUGAAAAUGCCAAGGCAUCUGUGCACAUGCCGGCGGAUUUUAAUGAGAGUCCUGUGCUUGGAGCACCAGAAAUAAACCAGCUUCACAAGCAAAGUAACAAAAGGCCUUAGAUGAUGACACUGGCCAUGGGUAUUACUACGUGUAGGUGGUAAGUGGAUGAUCCUGGGACACCUGUCCUGCACACUGUCCACCCUGACUCAGCUACUUCUGCAAUUGUGCCUGAAUAACUGGAAAACUUCUAAGGGGAGAAGUGGCUGGGCCCUCCAGGGGGACAAUCCCUCCCUAACUCCAUGUGAUCUUGGUGGUGCUCUCUACCACGGUUCCAUCCUCGCUCCCACGGGGAUCAGGGGACGAGGAAACCAACAGGGCCGGGCCAAUGAGAGUCCCCUGAUCACAGUUCCUGGUUCAAAGAUGGCCACAUGCCUGAGCAGCUUUGAAACCACAAGGAUGUCAUUUCCUCCUAAGAACGAAGUUAACAGGUGGAAGAAGCAGAGCUAGAGAUGGAAUGAGACCCAGCCACCCUGGGCUCCAGUGACAUCAGCCGGAUCUGAACGUCUGUGACACUCUUUGGAGCUGACACAGUGAAGAACAUGGAAUAAGAACCAGGCCAAAGGCCUGGAAGGAGAACUCACCCAGUCUGCCAGGGUCACAGAUGAUUGUGCUCAAGAUGUUCCUGGGGAGUCAAUGGCAAAUUUCACUGUGCUGUUUUACAGAUGAAGGAGGAAUAUAAGGAAGGUUCCAGGACCUUGAAGUCCAUGGAACUCCCACGACUGCCUGAUCUCUGGAGCUUGUCAUUUGGCCAACAACAGGGAUAUGGGAACAGAAGGCAGGAGCCUGGCUCACUUGGGCAGUCAGCUUCUGCCUCUUUCCCUGCUGUCUCCAGCCACCAAGAAUGUCCUACAGUUCCCCCAAGAUGAACCCCCCAUUACCUUUCAGGUCACUCUGUUUCCCCUGAUCUUUGUCAAAUUCCUGACUCAGAGCUCCUCCCAUUGGCUUCUGACUCUCAUUUUAUUCUUAGUGUUAACCAUUUCUGUUCUCAUUCUCCCUUUUAUGAGUGCUGAGACCAGAGCGCGAGGCAACUGCUCAGUGCUGGUCGUCACUGACACUGUUAUUAAAUAACUUCAUAAGGGAAUGGUUGGUUUCUACUUUUUUUUUUUUUUAAACUUGAUUCAAUACUGCACAAUGCUGUGGAGUACAAGAAUAUAAGGUAAACCUUAACCUUAGAUUAUGGAAAUUUUCAGGCAUAAUAUCAAGGAUAUUGAAGACACUUAACUAAAAUUAGUGUGUGGCUAUGCCAUAUCAUCAUUGAAAUGGGAAGCCAGGAGCAGUGAGAAAUUCUGUCAGAUGCACGCCCGGCCCUCUGUUUAUCAGCCAGUCUGCCCCUCCCUGGGGAGACACUGGCCCAAUCUCUAGGAUUGACCCAAGCGCAUCCCCAACCCCGCUUCCUUUGCAAGCUACAGCUAUGGGCUCUCACUUACUGGGAUCCUCUCCUCACUAGGGUAAAGGCGCACCUUUGGUUGGAUAAAGCUGGAGACGUUACUUAUCUUUCUUGGAUGGAAGAGAUGGUUUAGACUUUGACUAAGGAAGCUGAAGUGGGAGAGCUGGCCUAGUGCCCCCCGGAGGGUCAGGUGCCCGGUUAGGGUGCAAUUGGGGAGGGGAGUCAGCACAGGCCUCAAGUCUACCGCAGCUGACAGCAGGGUUCCGGGAGUGAAUGACUGGUUCCUCACUGCACCCAGCUGUAAGGGUACCUUCCGGCAAUAGCCCUGAACACCAGGAGCAGAUCCCACCCAGGCCUUCCCGUGAGUGCCCGGACUCCCCUUCUCACCUGA